CAAAGAAAAGGGAACAUUUCGAGAAGGGAUGAGAUGUCGCAAAAUGGGACUUUGAAAGUAGAGAUCUUCGACGUUUAUGACAUAUAUUGUAACACCCCUAACCCGUAUCUGUCGUCGAAUAGGGUUACAGAGCAUUAUCGGAGUUUACAUUUCAGAACUAUAAAAAAUUUUAAAACAUUUAAUUCAUAUCAUCAAUCACAG
rnacentral:lncRNA from 1 species